CGUGGGUAAAGCAUUUCGGAGAAAUACUACAAAGAUUUUGGAGUACCUAGUGGGGAGUCAAAUAUCCCAACUAGGUAUUCACGGAAGGGGGUGUUGGUAAAACGAUUAUUGUGGUGCACAUACACAAUAGACUCCUCGAAAAAGCAAACUAUGACAAUGUGUUGUGGAUCACUAUAUCAUAAGAUUUUAACAUAUAACAGUUGUAAGAUGAUAUUUGGAAGGCACAAGUUGAGG